rnacentral:rRNA from 1 species
ACGCUGGCGGUAGGCUUAACACAUGCAAGUCGAGCGAGAAAGUAUCUUCGGAUAUGAGUAGAGCGGCGGACGGGUGAGUAACGCGUAGGAAUCUACCUAGUAGAAGGGGAUAGCCCGGGGAAACUCGGAUUAAUACCGUAUACCUCCUAAGGGAGAAAGAGGGCCUCUCUUGAAGCUCUCGCUACUAGAUGAGCCUGCGUAAGAUUAGCUUGUUGGUAAGGUAAUGGCUUACCAAGGCUACGAUCUUUAGCUGGUCUGAGAGGACGAUCAGCCACAUUGGGACUGAGACACGGCCCAGACUCCUACGGGAGGCAGCAGUGGGGAAUAUUGGACAAUGGGCGCAAGCCUGAUCCAGCCAUACCGCGUGUGUGAAGAAGGCCUUCGGGUUGUAAAGCACUUUAAGCAGGGAGAAAAAGCAAUAGGUUAAUACCUUAUUGCCGUGAUGUUACCUGCAGAAUAAGCACCGGCUAAUUCCGUGCCAGCAGCCGCGGUAAUACGGAAGGUGCAAGCGUUAAUCGGAAUUACUGGGCGUAAAGCGCGCGUAGGUGGUUGGUUAAGUUGGAUGUGAAAGCCCUGGGCUCAACCUAGGAACUGCAUCCAAAACUAACUCACUAGAGUACGAUAGAGGGAGGUAGAAUUCAUAGUGUAGCGGUGGAAUGCGUAGAUAUUAUGAAGAAUACCAGUGGCGAAGGCGGCCUCCUGGAUCUGUACUGACACUAAGGUGCGAAAGCGUGGGUAGCGAACAGGAUUAGAUACCCUGGUAGUCCACGCCGUAAACGAUGACAACUAGCUGUUGGGAGGCAAUGUCUUUCAGUGGCGCAGCUAACGUUUUAAGUUGUCCGCC